GUGUAGACGAAGAACCGAAUAUGCCCGAGUUUAGACGAACCGUGCCGAGUUCAGCCCAAGAGCCGAAACAAGCCAAAUUUAGCCGAGUUUAAUGGAACAGAACCGAACGUCGCCGCCUUCGGCCGAAUCGAACGAGCUCAGCCGAACCAAGGCGAGUCCAGCCCAGUCUUGCGACCUCGACCGAACCGAGGCGAAGCUUACGAGGCUGGCUGAAUAGAAGUGAGCUCAGCCCAAACAAGCCGCCUGCUCUCGUGCCCGCUAAUUAGCUCGAGUGCGGUGACAGCCUAAUGAGCUCCUGCCCAACCCCGCGCUGCCGUCCGUGUCCGUGCGAUGGCCGGGCCACCCGCGGGACACGACAGCAGGAGAGCCCCGAGCCGUGCGAGUUUAACGUGAGGCGGCGCCGCUUUCCCGCACUCAGGGAGCCGAACUGAGCCGCGCCGAACACACAGAGCGGCUCCGAGUUCGGCCGAAGCGAGCCCAGCGUUGCCGAACAGGCGAAUCUAGUUGAGUGCAGCCGAUAAUAGCCGAGUUUAGCAAAAAAUAGCUGAAUUGAGCUGAAGAGCCGACUCUAGCAGAGUGUCGCCUAACCGAGCCGAGCUCCGCCGAGCGGGUGCCGGGGCUCUGUGAGGCUUCGCCGCCUGUCCCUCUCUCUAUGCCUCCUUCCUCCUCCCCUCCUCCUCUUCUCUCUCUCCCUUUCCCCCAUUCCCUCGUCCCUGCAAGCCCGGCUCCUUCCUGUCCUGUCCGUACGCUGCUACUCCGUUCCAUUCCCCCUCCCUCCUCUGUCCACCCUCCCUCUACCCCCCUCCCGGGCUUUCCCUUCCCCUCCCGCUUUCCUCCACAGCCCGACCUCCCUGCCUGCCCUUUCUCAUCCCCUGCUCUCGCUCCUCUCUUCCCGUCCCCCCUUUCCUUCUUUCCCCCGCAGCCGCGGGGCUCGGGGUGCCGGAGAAUAAAGCCCAGAGGGCCGGAGCCCGGCGCCCCUCGGCCCCUGCAGGAGUCCCCGCACGGGGCCGGAGGCUCUCGGCGGAUCCCCCCGUGCCGGUCAAACACCCCGCCCGACACCGCCGCACCUGCGGCUUUCCCGACAUCGCGCAGAGAGCGGCCCCCGCUCUGUGCCGUGCCGUCCCCGCCGUCUCUGUCACUCCCUCUCGUUGCCCCUCUCCCGUGACAGCGAGGCUGGGGAGGAACCUCAGCCCUUCUUGGGGGCUGUCCCCCCUUUCUUGUUGCAGCAGAAUCCCCUUCUGGGGGGAUGUACAGGUGGAAAGGGCUUGAAGGAAGCGCUGCUGUCCAGGGCAGUUGGACUCGUUCUGUGCCUUCUUUGGGGUUGAGGAAAAGGGGGUGAAGACUUGGGGCUCUGAUGCCAUUUGAGGCACCCCAAGGUACCUGGGAGAGGGAGCCGCACUGCGGUGGAGAAGCAGGAGGAGCACAGCUUCCAGAAAUUCCAGGCUGUGUUAAAUACAACACUUUUUUCAGCAGAUUCAUCAUGUCACAAAAGGCACCUGCCCGGUGCCAAAGACGAUGUUUGGGAUUGAGGCUUCAGGUGCCACUCACAAUAACAGGCACGUUCUUGGAAUCAGGAUGAAGCUGGAGCCUUGAGGACCCAGGAAGUAAAGCUGGAUAUUAGCAGUCAAGGCAAUCCACUCGGCGUACGUCCGGCCACUGUCACCGACCGGCAGAUGGACCGGGUUUGCUGCUCUUGUGAGCCCGCUGGAAGUAUUACAAGACUUGGUGAUGAAGCCUCUGCCUUUUCUAUUUAAAGGUGUCACCUGGGUAGUCUUUGGCAACGGCUGAGUUGCGGUGAGUUGGGAAAAUAGGGAGGAGGAGCAAGGGUCCACUCAGGUUUCAGCAAUGCCACAUCACCUUGUCUCCCCUUAACCCAGGCGUGCCCCGAGACAACAGCGUCGGCCUCCGAGUGCAGCCGAAGCAUGUGGCCUGAGGAGAUGGGAGGUCUUAGGAAAAUGCUGACUAAGAAACAACAGGAAGUUGUUGAACAACAGUGCCAGCGGGAACUUCCCAGAUGUUGAGGCUGCCUUCUUUUGCACCUGACACGGACCAGCAUCCCCAGAUGUCUGAGAGAUAAGUAGAGGGCUACAACCCUCUACUAUAAGUAGAGGGGAUGAAAGUGGGGUGCUGGUUUGGGAAUUACUGGGAGGGGUUUUUGAGUCCACUUUGGAGGUGGGGGUGUCCAUGAAGUGGCCCCUUAGGCCACUUAAAAGGAACAUCUCACUUUUGACAACAGUGCUGAGGUGCGCAGGUCAGAGCAGUCCUGGCAUGUAUCGUGUCACUUGUCUAUCGUGCAUUCUAUGUUGUUUGGGUAUCUCAUGUCUUUUACCUUAGCCCUUUGAGGGGCAUAUCAGAAACCCCUGGCAUCAUUCUUAGCAUCUGUGAUCUCUGCAUUCCUUGGCCUGGCACCCAGGCCAUAGAACUUUUGACUCGGGAGCUCAGACAGGUAUCAGACUCGCAUCUCUCUUUAGAAGCAUCCAGUCAGAUGUCUUUUCAGGUCUUGUUCUGAGCUGUAUGGACAGCCGUGUCCCACAAGGAUCCACUAUGGCAGAUUAGGACUUGUAAGAGUGUGAGGUUAGGUAGAGGAUUCUGACCCGAGGAUUCCCAGGCAUCCAUCUUUGCAGUUCUUGGACUAAAUCAUUCAGUUAGCGUCUUCUUCCUCCUGGGUUCCCUGAGCCUCAUCAGCUCACCAUCGGUCUCACCUCGGUCAUCUCAUUUUGAAUUUUCUCGGUCCUUGCAGUCAUUUUUCUUGCCAAGAGAUUUCCGUCUGUGUUGUGUCCCCCUUGUUUGUCAUGUCCUGUGUCAUGGGUGUUCACACACAUUUGUGCUGGAGCCGCUCUUCCCUGCUGCAUAGCCUGUUGCAAUAGAAGUCCCAGGACCUUGAAGUUUGUACUGUGGGGUGUAGUUUAUGGACACAAGAGGUCUGGAGCUCUUAAGUUAUCCUGCAACAGUUUGACUAUUGACCUAACUUUUUUUUCAGAUUCAGAUGGAUUAAAUCUUUGCCAGAGCACCCCAUCCCAGGUGAGGGGGUCCCCCCGAGCAGGAAGUAAAUCUGGAUACCAGCAGUCAAGUUGGUCCACUUGCAAUCCUGGCCGAGCAUGCCCGAUGCCAGGUGCUGUCACUGCCCUAGGCAUGCCAAGGAACAGAGGAGAGCAGGUAUCUUCUGGGCAGCCUCUGAAGUCAAAUCAAGAUUUGAGGUACCCUGUUGAGGUUUGUAGCCAAAGUUUGGAAACAGCAGCACCGAAGCACACGCGGAGAACAUCUCGACGUCCGUGUCCAACCAACGAUGGAUUUUGUCCACUCGUUUUCCAAACGCUAAGUGUCGGGUUGUCCUAGGGUGACAUUAGGAUGCUGUUAUCCCCAUUCGUGUGUAAUUUAUGCUGGAUAUUAUGUUCUGUGCCUUUAAGACUAGCUCUGCAGAGUGAAAGUUUUGUUUUGGGCCUCUUAUCAGCCACUCGGCGGGACAUACAGAUAGCACAGUACAUAGUGCUGCUUUUUUGCUUUUUGCUUUGCUCUUGCUUCUGCUCUGCUUCUGCUUUGCUUUUGCUUCUCUUGCUUUUUUCCCCUCUUCUCAUUAGUUAAUUUAGCUAAACAGUCCAAAUUCCUUCCUGGACUGGUUCCCCUUUCCUGUUUGGAUCUACCGACCUGCUCCGGACUGGACCUGGGAAACACCGAGAGAGAGUUUGCAUCUUGUGGCUGCAGCAGCUGCCCCAGUGCUGGAGGGACUGAUAACAUCGAACAGCCCCAGGAGAGACUUUCUGAAUUUGUCAUCUUUUUCAGAGCGGUGAAAGAGUGGUGUCAUCUGCUGUUGUUCAUUUUGUGUGUUGGGGGGUGCUGUGCUUGUCAAAUAAACAGGCUCUUUCCA